UCAUCGCGCUUUCAUCGCUGUCAACUGAAAAUUGAAUUGCCUGCCAACUUUAAAAUUUUUGUCUUCAUAUGGCGCCUUAUCUUGCCCGCGUAUCCGUCUCACGCCCCGCAGUCAUGCAAGAUGCGCUGAACGCGUUAUCGCACUGAACAGUACAGAUCCAAUCCAGAAGUGCGGCAGCUGCGCACACUAGGCCAUGACGAUAUAAGAAGCUCGCCGCACGAUGGACUCGGCUACUUCCUUUUCAGAAACCGCACCGUUCCACUUCAAGCGGCGACUACGUUCCUGCUGCUAGCGUCCCAGCGAUUGCUAAAUGGAAGGCAGAAGAAUGAACCGGCGGAAUGCUGCUUUGAGAAUUGCCCGGCAAAGGGAGAACAGGCUCCGGAUGCAGGGGAACGCUAACGGUGCAGCCAGGCCGGCACCUGCUUUCUCCUACCUCGAUAUGGCCAUGGCACCUGUGCGACUCUUCCUUGAUGCCCUGAUGGUGCCUCUGCGCUUCAUGUCAGACAUGCUGAAGAAAUUUCUCGUGGCCAUGCUGUCAUUCUACAACCGCUCGUGGGUGAUCCUGCAGGCAGACUUGUAACAGCGCCGUCACUGACGAGCCAAUGAAUUUUCCUGUGAAAUGCACCUGUAAAAAACUACCAAGGACACCCAGAGGGUCCCGCUGACCUGCACUUUUGACAAACUCGACUGAACCAUUUUUACCAUGCGCCAAUCAUUCUGGUUUUAAACUUUCAGCACAUUGACUUCACUUCAGCAUUCACCCAUUCUUGUAGACCACAUGAAGCAAUAAAGGUCAUUUCAUGGGAA